rnacentral:tRNA from 1 species
GCGUUCGUAGCUCAGCUGGAUAGAGCGUCUGACUUCGGAUCAGAAGGCCAUGGGUUCGACUCCUAUCGAGCGCA